rnacentral:lncRNA from 1 species
UUCAUGUGUGACUGCUGCCCUGUGAUGCCAUCUGCCACAUUAUGAUGCAGCCAGAAGGCCCUUGCCAGAUGCUGACCAGAGCAGCCUGGACCUUGGACUUUCAGCUUCCACAUUAGUCUUGCUAUGUAGCCCAGGCUGACCAUUGACUUAUGAUCCUCCUGCCUCAGCCUCCUAAGUGCUGGAAUUACAGGCAUGCAUGCCAGAUCUGAGGCUUCUGCCACAAACAUGCUGUGCCAUGAUUCUUGGUCAGGCCAAAACUUGAACUGCUGCUUCUUAUUUAUUGGAGCCAGAGGCACUGCAGCCAGCAUUGUUCAAACCAGAUUUCAGUUGAGACUGAAAACAUAACCCAAAACCUUGGAACUGGGCCCUGAGGAUCAAUCCAAGUGCUACUCCGUACAUGGAUUACAGAAAACUGGAGAGAGCAGUCCAGACUUCUGAAUGAUUAACCUUCGAAGAACUCAGGGGGAGGAGCAAAAAAGAGAAUGCCCAGAAAAUUACCUCAGCUGCAGCUUCUUCACAUGGAAACGCAGGACCUGGCACAUGGAGCAGACCCCCUAUACCACUCCUUCCCUAGCAACUCUGGACCCAGAACCCAGAAAGCUGCCUCCUGCCCAGUCAUAACCCCACUUUAGCCCAUUUUUACUGGAAAUCUGUC